rnacentral:tRNA from 1 species
GGUGGGUUAGUUCAGUGGUUAGACCUUAGGCCUUGUAACCGUAAGGUCCAGGGUUCAAAUCUCAUCAGAGG